GGUUGCGGUGACGGUAAAGUGGAGAGCAAAAUAAUAGCAGGCAGAAAUCAGAAACAGUCCAUAAGAGAACAAUAAACACUGGGGAGGUUGGUGAGGCCAGUAAUUGCAGUUGAGAAACAUGCAGCUCUGGAGCCUAGUAUAUCUGCAGAUGGUAAAACUCAAUCUACAGGAGAGGUAAGAAACAAAGUUAAUGACGUGCACUAGUGGAAUAUAAAUGUAUGACGAGUAAAGAAGAUGAUUGUGCAGGAGAGGCCCUCAGUGCAUCGUGGGAUGUUCCCCACCAGGCUAGACCUUUAGACUGCUAAAGGUCUAGCCUAAGCGGCAGGUUCUCCUCCCUUCUCUCUCUCCCGCUCUCUAGGUGGGCAUGUGUGUGGAGUGUGGUAUGCAGGCAGGUGCUGCCAAUCACAAUCAGCAGAACUGGCACGAAAGCAGGUGGAAAUGAUCACCUCCCAUACAGAGCCAGAUGCUGCCACUACUCGGUGCUGGAUCUUAACAAUACCACAUACCGGACUCCUGCCUGCUCUUCUACAAGUCUGCCCAAACCUGCCUCCUCUGUCAAGUUUGGAUCAAGUCGUCUCUCAGUCCGUUCUGCCGCUGCAUCGGCAAGAUUCCUGGCUAUCCUCCACUAAUGACAGCACCUGCCCAGCUGCACCAGUCGCAGCUCUGCCACACACCAUCACCACUCGCCUCACGCCCCUGGCUCCCCUAUUCUCUGUUCAUUGCUCAGCUAAGUUCUCCGCUCACUUCCGAGCCUGUUCAAUUUAGUAUUUAGUCUCUCAGUAGUCCUGAGUUUUGUGUAUCGCCGAAUUUUUGGCUCAUGCCUGUAGAGUUAACCCUUUAGGCGCCACAGUUUUUUCAAUAAAAUAUUCAGUUUUGAUAUCACUUUUUCAAAAGGUUGUGACUUGAAAAUGAUUAGAGAUAAAGGCAUACUGUAAAUGAGUAAAAUCAUCAGUAUGAUCCAAAGUUUGUGAUGGGAGUAAGUUCACUCAUCUAAUUUGCAUAUUAUGACGUCAUCAGGCGGCGGACAUAUGGAUUACAUAACUUUCACAGAUGUUUAUCGAUCAAGAUGGCAUUGCUUGGCUCAGAAUUUGUCAGAUUCCUGUCUCCACGAUACCCAACAGGCUCAUCAGAAUGUCUGAUCCACUUUGUGUCCUGAAACCAUAUGCAAUUGAAAUAGCAUUUGCCGUACUAUUUAAAACUACUAACAUCACUGUAAUAAAAUUGUUCAUCAUGAAAUUGCC
ensembl:lncRNA